rnacentral:rRNA from 1 species
UACCAGCACCCGAGUGGUCGGGACGAUUAUUGGGCCUAAAGCAUCCGUAGCCGGUCAUGCAAGUCUUCCGUUAAAUCCAGCCGCUCAACGGUUGGGCUGCGGAGGAUACUACGUGGCUAGGAGGCGGGAGAGGCAAGCGGUACUCAGUGGGUAGGGGUAAAAUCCUUUGAUCCAUUGAAGACCACAGUGGCGAAGGCGGCUUGCCAGAACGCGCUCGACGGUGAGGGA